UACGGAGGGAGCAAGCGUUACUCGGAAUUACUGGGCGUAAAGCGUGCGCAGGCGGUUAUUUAAGUCAGGGGUGAAAGCCCUGGGCUUAACCUAGGAAUUGCGCUUGAGACUGGAUAGCUUGGAGUGCGGCAGAGGGAGGUGGAAUUCCACGUGUAGCAGUGAAAUGCGUAGAGAUGUGGAGGAACACCGAUGGCGAAGGCAGCCUCCUGGGCCAGCACUGACGCUCAUGCACGAAAGCGUGGGGAGCAAACAGG
rnacentral:rRNA from 1 species